AUUGAACGCUGGCGGCAUGCCUUACACAUGCAAGUCGAACGGUAACGGGCCUUCGGGUGCCGACGAGUGGCGAACGGGGGAGUAAUACAUCGGAACGUGCCCGAUCGUGGGGGAUAACGAGGCGAAAGCUUUGCUAAUACCGCAUACGAUCUACGGAUGAAAGCAGGGGACCGCAAGGCCUUGCGCGGACGGAGCGGCCGAUGGCAGAUUAGGUAGUUGGUGGGAUAAAAGCUUACCAAGCCGACGAUCUGUAGCUGGUCUGAGAGGAUGAUCAGCCACACUGGGACUGAGACACAGCCCAGACUCCUACGGGAGGCAGCAGUGGGGAAUUUUGGACAAUGGGCGCAAGCCUGAUCCAGCCAUGCCGCGUGCAGGAUGAAGGCCUUCGGGUUGUAAACUGCUUUUGUACGGAACGAAAAGCCUUCUUUUAAUACAGGAGGGUCAUGACGGUACCGUAAGAAUAAGCACCGGCUAACUACGUG
rnacentral:rRNA from 1 species